ACACACACAUACACACACACACACACACAGACAGACAGACAGACAGACAGACAGACACACACACAGCAGUCAGACCGUGCGCAGUUUGUAGCGGAAGCGAACGUCGGCGGCGGGCAGCAUGACGCCCAGCCCGGCCCGGCUCAGGUCCUGCGUGGCUCGGCUCUGAUCCUCCUCCAGCUGCAGAUCGAAGUAGAGCAGCAGCAGACACAGGAACUGUUUGAUCUCGUUGACGGCGAAGUAUCGGCCGGGACACAUGGAGGAACCGGAGCCGAACGGCAUCAGGAAGACGAAGACAUUUGGAGAACAGUUAGCUCCAAAACAGGAUGGAAAGAAGAGACAGAAACUUCUAAGAAAGCGGUGAAAAAAUUGGUAUAGAAACGACUAAAGCGUAAAAAAAAAAAAAAAAAGGGACCACUUCAAACAGACAGAUCUCAUUGUGAAGAGAUUUUAUCUGAGACAACACUGGUCCGGUUCCUCCUGUGUUUACUGGGCGGUGGUUUCCUCCGGAGAGAAGGCCCUGCUGCUGCUGACCCACCUCUUCUCCAACACAAAGGCCUGGCACAGAAACAACUCCGAUAUGCAUCAGUCUGACCCCUACUUACCGUAGGGACUUGGAAAGAUAUUUAGGUAGCUCAACUCAUUUGAAACAAUAGAAAUUAGGAUUUGAUUGGAAAUUCAUCCACAUAUCAAUGAGAUGAGAGAACUAGUGGCCCAACGGUGAAACUAGUGGCCCAACGUUAAAAACUAGUGGCCUAACAGUAAAACUAGUGGCCUAACAGUAAAACUAGUGGCCUAAUGGUGAAACUAGUGGCCUAACGGUAAAACUAGUGGCCCAACGGUAAAACUAGUGGCCUAACGGUAAAACUAGUGGCCUAACGGUAAAACUAGUGGCCCAACGGUAAAACUAGUGGCCUAACGGUAAAACUAGUGGCCUAACGGUGAAACUAGUGGCCUAAUGGUGAAACUAGUGGCCUUAUGGUGAAACUAGUGGCCUAACGGUAAAACUAGU